rnacentral:rRNA from 1 species
CCUACGGGAGGCAGCAGUGAGGAAUAUUGGUCAAUGGGCGCGAGCCUGAACCAGCCAAGUAGCGUGAAGGAUGACUGCCCUACGGGUUGUAAACUUCUUUUAUCAAGGAAUAAAGUGAGGCACGUGUGCCUUUUUGUAUGUACUUUAUGAAUAAGGAUCGGCUAACUCCGUGCCAGCAACCGCGGUAAUACGGAGGAUCCGAGCGUUAUCCGGAUUUAUUGGGUUUAAAGGGAGCGUAGAUGGGUUGUUAAGUCAGUUGUGAAAGUUUGCGGCUCAAACGUAAAAUUGCAAUUGAUACUGGCAGCCUUGAGUACAGGUGAGGUAGGCGGAAUGCGUGGUGUAGCGGUGAAAUGCUUAGAUAUCACGAAGAACUCCGAUUGCGAAGGCAGCUUACUAAACUGCCACUGACAUUGAUGCUCGAAAGUGUGGGUAUCAAACAGGAUUAGAUACCCGGGUAGUC